UACAGAGGGUGCAAGCGUUGUUCGGAAUUACUGGGCGUAAAGCGCGUGUAGGUGGCGAUGUAAGUCGGGUGUGAAAUCCCUCGGCUCAACCGAGGAAGUGCACUCGAUACUGUGUCGCUUGAGUGUUGGAGGGGAUGGCGGAAUUCCCGGUGUAGAGGUGAAAUUCGUAGAUAUCGGGAGGAACACCUGUGGCGAAGGCGGCCAUCUGGACAACUACUGACACUGAGACGCGAAAGCGUGGGGAGCAAACAGG
rnacentral:rRNA from 1 species